GACGAACGCUGGCGGCGUGCCUAAUACAUGCAAGUCGAGCGAAGUUUUUCUGGUGCUUGCACUAGAAAAACUUAGCGGCGAACGGGUGAGUAACACGUAAAGAACCUGCCUCAUAGACUGGGACAACUAUUGGAAACGAUAGCUAAUACCGGAUAACAGUAUUUCUCGCAUGAGAGAUAUUUAAAAGUUGGUUAUGCUAACACUAUGAGAUGGCUUUGCGGUGCAUUAGCUAGUUGGUGGGGUAAAGGCCUACCAAGGCGACGAUGCAUAGCCGACCUGAGAGGGUGAUCGGCCACACUGGGACUGAGACACGGCCCAGACUCCUACGGGAGGCAGCAGUAGGGAAUCUUCCGCAAUGGGCGAAAGCCUGACGGAGCAACGCCGCGUGAGUGAAGAAAGGAUUUCGGUUCGUAAAAGCUCUGUUGUUAGGGAAAGAAAUGGAUAAUGUAG
rnacentral:rRNA from 1 species